CACAUCCCCCUCUCACGAAACCCCCCCUCCCGACGUAUCCAUGGAUUCCUCAGCUCCUCCCGCUGCCCGGGCGCCAACGGGGGAGCCAGGGCACCCACGGGUGGCACCGGGGGCACCCACGGGUGACGCCGGGGCCUCACCCGACAGCUUGCUCUUGGCCUCGUGGUCGAUGGGUUGGCUGGAGAGCGAGUUCACCCGGAUCUCGGCCACGGGCACCGCCACGUCCUUCACCACGUUGUGCAGCCCCAGCACCAGGCCCCCCUCGCUCGGGUGCUGCAUCACCUGCGGGAUGGGGUGGCACCCAUGGGUGCCCCGGUAGCCUGACCUGAGCUCUCCCGGCACCCAGAAUGCUCAUUGCGCCUUGAGAGCCCUGAUCGGUGGGGUUCUGGCACCCACCAACCCGAUGCGUGGUGUCCUGGAACCCAUCACCCUGAGCACCCUGAUCCGUGGUGCUCUGGCACCCAUCAUCCUGAGCACCCCGAUCUGUGGUGUCCUGGCACCCAUCACCCUGAGCACCCUGAUCCAUGGUGCCCCAGCACCCACCACCCCAUGGGCACCCUGAUCCGUGGUGUCCCGGCACCCACCACCCCUUGAGCACCCUGAUCCGUGGUGCCCCAGCACCCAUCACCCCAUGGGCACCCUGAUCCAUGGCGUCCUGGCACCCACCACCCCGUGAGCACCCUGAUCCAUGGUGCCCCAGCACCCACCACCCCAAGCACCCCGAUCCGUGGUGUCCUGGCACCCACCACCCCGAUGCGUGGUGUCCUGGAACCCAUCACCCUGAGCACCCUGAUCUGUGGUGCCCCAGCACCCACCACCCCAUGGGCACCCUGAUCCGUGGUGCCCUGGCACCCAUCACCCUGAGCACCCUGAUCCGUGGUGCCCCAGCACCCACCACCCCCCAAGCACCCCAAUCCAUGAGCACCCUGAUCUGUGGUGUCCUGGCACCCACCACCCCAGGCACCCCAAUCCAUGAGCACCCUGAUCCAUGGUGUCCUGGCACCCACCACCCCAGGCACCCCAAACCUUGGUGCCCUAGCACCCAGCACCCCACCACCCCAUGGGCACCCUGAUCCGUGGUGCUCUGGCACCUACCACCACCCCAAGCACCCCCAUCUGUGGUGCCCCAGCACCCAGCACCCCCUGGGCACCCUGAUCCGUGGUGUCCUGGCACCCACCACCCUGAUCCGUGGUGCCCUGGCACCCACCACCCCUUGAGCACCCCAAUCCGUGGUGCCCCAGCACCCACCACCCCAAGCACCCCGAUCCGUGGUGUCCUGGCACCCACCACCCUGAGCACCCCGAACCAUGGUGCCCCAGCACCCCACCACCCCCUGGGCACUCUGAUCCGUGGUAUCCUGGCACCCACCACCCCCUGGGCACCCUGAUCCGUGGUGUCCUGGCACCCACCACCCCGAUCUGUGGUGCCCUGGCACCCACCACCCCUUCAGCACCUCAAUCUGUGGUGCCCCAGCACCCCACCACCCCAUGGGCAGCCUGAUCCAUGGUGCUCUGGCACCUACCACCACUUGAGCACCCUGAUCUGUGGCGUCCUGGCACCCAGCACCCCAAACACCCCAAUCCGUUGUGCCCCAGCACCCCGAGCACCCCGAUCCGUGGUGCCCCAGCACCCCACCACCCCUUGAGCACCUCCAUCUACGGUGCUCCAGCACCCUCCAAACACCCCAAACCUUGGUACC
rnacentral:lncRNA from 1 species